rnacentral:rRNA from 1 species
GUGCACCAGGCGAGAAACUUCGCAAUGCGCGAAGCGCGACGAGGGAUUCCAAGUGCAUGCACUAAGUGUAUGCUUUCGUGAGUUUAAACGCUCACGGAAUAAGGGCUGGGUAAGACUGGUGCCAGCCGCCGCGGUAAUACCAGCGGCCCUAGUGGUGAUCGUUAUUAUUGGGCCUAAAGCGUCCGUAGCCGGUCCGGUAAAUCUCUGGGUAAAUCGUUGGGCUUAACUCAGCGAAUUCUGGGGAGACUGCUGGGACUUGGGACCGGGAGAGGUCGGAGGUACUCCAGGGGUAGGGUGAAAUCCUGUAAUCCUUGGGGACCACCGGUGGCGAAGGCGUCCGACCAGAACGGGUCCGACGGUAAGGGACGAAGCCCUGGGGCGCGAACCGGAUUAGAUACCCCU